rnacentral:misc_RNA from 1 species
UCCAGCUUAUCGCUGGCGGUCUCCUGAGAGUGCAUCCGAAGAUUAGCAACACAGGACAAGGGUUGCGCUCGUUGCGGGACUUAACCCAACAUCUCACGACACGAGCUGACGACAGCCAUGCAGCACCUCGACUUCAGUCCCUUGCGGGAAAGACCCUGUUUCCAGAGUCGGUCCAAAGCCGUUCGAGCCCAGGUAAGGUUCUUCGCGUUGCGUCGAAUUAAACCACAUGCUCCACCGCUUGUGCGGGCCCCCGUCAAUUCCUUUGAGUUUCAACCUUGCGGUCGUACUCCCCAGGCGGGGUACUUCCUGCGUUAGCGCCGGCACCCAGAGGGUCGCUCCCCCAGGCACCUAGUACCCAUCGUUUACGGCGUGGACUAC